rnacentral:rRNA from 1 species
AAUUGCAUUUGUGACUGCACGGCUAGAGUGUGUCAGAGGGGGGUAGAAUUCCACGUGUAGCAGUGGGGUCGCGUAGAGUUGUGGAGGAAUACCGAUGGCGAAGGCAGCCCCCUGGGAUAACACUGACGCUGAGGCACGAAAGCGUGGGGAGCAAACAGGAUUAGAUACCCUGGUAGUCCACGCCCUAAACGAUGUCUACUAGUUGUCGGGCUUAAUUGACUUGG